UUCCUUUGAUUUAACUGCUUUUUUACUGUAGUUUAUUUCUUUAAUCUUUUUUUCUGUCAAGAUUUUAACCCCAACCUUAAAAAUGAAACAAACCCUUAAAUCACAAUGAAAAUACUUCUGCUGUCACAAUCAUGAGUUAGUCAAUUAUUCAGUUUAUCAAUUCAGCUUUAUUUGUUUAGCACCUUUCACACAGAUUAGAAAACUAAACAAGCAAAGAGAAAAAACUAUGCUAAAACUAUGAUUAAAACUCAAAAAAAAAAAAAAAAAAGGUUUAACAUAAUAAAAUAUGUUGUGUCCAGGGGAUGGAAGGAGUUUAUUGAAGUCUUCUUGGGCUCACAUGGCAAAUCAUUUAAAAUAUAAACUUGAUAUUCAGUCUAAGGAAACCGCAGAGCGACAGAAGAAACAACAAUAUCUCCUGUUUUCUCCUUUCAUGAGUCGACUCUUCGUGUGCUUUCAGACCAAAGAACUACAGAAUCUUCACAACCUGCUCAAACUCUUGGUACAGGACCUCACCACACGGGUCAAGAAGGUUUCCGUCUCAUUUCUACUCUGAAGCUCACCUUCUCCUGCUCAAACUGCUGACAAAUGUUUCUGCUGCUCUAAAGUCUGGUCUCCAGAACUUCCUAAAAACUCUCAAAGUCUCUUCUGCUGCAGGUUGCUUUGUAGAACUGUUGCAGAAAACCUCACUAAACCACAUGGAGGGGCCUCAAGAUAGUCGUCCAAAUGAAACCAUACAAAAACCAAACUAGUACAACCCAAACACUAAAGUCUCCUGCAGCCUACCAGAGAACCUCUGAGAACAGAGAAUCAGGACAGGAACUCUUACCUUCUGGACAACCAACCUUGGUCCACAAACAAGAAUUCAGAAUGUGUCUGACCAAAAACCUCUAAAGACUCACUACAGCCAAGAUAAAGACACAACUCAGCUGCAGCAAAUCCACUAAUCACUGCACACAUUAGCACCAUGUGCUGACUGUGGCUAAAGAACCUCAUUUACCAAGACAACUAUCCAGUACAAAGCCCUAAAACACACCAAGAAACACAUUAAAGUCUAUUUUACUGCUGGAAGCUGCAAGCCAACGCCUAAAGAACAAACUAAAGCAAAGGAGCCAAACCCAGUUCUGUGGUGAAGAGAAGCAGAGGAAAUGUUUGUCUGCAGCUAAAUAAAGCAGGAAGACACUGAGCUGCUCAGGUGUUCCUGAUAACACCAAGCAGCUGCUCAGGUGUUCCUGAUAACACCAAGCAGCCACCUGGACAGCCAAUAGGAACACAGCUUACUGGAAGUCCAGAGGGCUGGGUUAGUGAAGGAAAUUUAGUUUAAAGUUGAAGCAGAAAGUUAACAAAGAAAGUUGAAAACCACCUUCUGAUACCUGAAAUCUCUGAGUUUUCACACAAAGAACGCCUGAACAUGUCAAACUGGCUUCAUAGUAGAACCAUCAUUGUAAAAACGUUAUAGUAUUGUGUGUUGCUCAAAAAACAUUAGGACCCAGCUGUCAGGGGACAAACAUGUAAGAAACAUGAGAACAGAGAGAACCCAACCAGUAGGUCACAGUUUAUCAUCCCCCAGUCAUCUCCUGAAGUCCAUAUGGUGAGAGACAUCAGUAUCUGGUUGUUAAUUUACCAGAGGAUGCUUAUAAUCAUGCUGAUGUGGUCUGUACUCUACAGUAUUUUAGUGACUCAAUAAAUGCCUAAGUUGUUUUUUUUUUAAAUGCUUUUUAGUUUUUAAUAAACAUUUAACAGCCUAUAUGUAAUCAAUAAAUGGCCUUUGCCUAUCUUAAGAAAAAUUCACUCAGAACUCUGAUAUGUUAACAGUACUAAAUAAAUCAAUAAAUACAUGCAUACACACAUAAAUAAGUUAAUACAUUAACUGUGUUAAGAUAAGAUUUAGAUUUUUUUUAAAAAAGUUGUUUAUGUAUUUGCAGAAUCCAGUAUUGCUCACUGGUUGGUCAUUACAUUUUGUUAGUUUGAUUUCACUGUUUAAAAUGAUGCCACCUCUUUUCAGACAGAACCUGUGAUAAUAAAACAAUACAAAAUUUUUAGUUCCGUGUUAAUAAAGCACUUAAAGCUUUAAGUAUGGCUAAAUGCUUUUUUCAAAAUUAAAUAUAUCACUCCUUAGGUGGUAGUGGCCCCAAGUUCAGUAAAGUUGGAAAGAUAUUCACAGAUUCGGACUUCCAGCAUCAAUAACUCGUUAGAUAUAGGUUGUCAAAACAUAAACGGUGCCUCUUUCCCAUUGUUGCAAGGCAGACAAUGUGCUACAAGCCCAGUUUUAUCAAAAGUAGCUGUCUUUGAAGCUACAGGAAUAACAUUGGUGUCUAUGGAGUAAACAGGGUCCGUCUGCAAUUUGUAAAACCACUGCAACAGUAAAGAGAGACAAAUAUUCAAUAACUUCACUCUUAUACAUUGUAGUGUCACUAAAAUCACUGCAGCCUUCAACUGGCUCCUGUUGACAAAGUGUUUUAACAGAAAUGUAAAUGCUGUAAUUUGAUUCUUUUAAUGAACCAUGUAACUUGAAUGGAUGUGAUGCUGGUGUGACCACAGUGCACACGUCUGAUGUUGCUCACAGUGGUCCAAGGGACGCUCAGGGAGUUUGUGUGUUUGCUCAGACUCAGGAAAAAUUAGAGGGAACAUUGGUCACCAUGGAAGCCAAAUUAAACACUUUCUCCAGCGGCGAGGAAAUUAAGCGGAAAAGAGGAGAGCACAGUCCUAAAAUUGCGACUGGGCUCGCCUCACAAUGAGACAGUCAGGACAUAUUUAGUUAAAACUUUGGCUGAAGUCCAGAUGUGGAGACAGACGUCCUUCUGUCUGAUUGUAAAAAGCAUUUUGAAACUCUACGGAGGAACUACCGCUACAGUCAACCCAACAUGGCGGAUCAGGCGGAGGCCAUGAAGUCUUCUGCCCCGAGUCACCACAGAAGAAAGAGGCUGCUGGAUGCCAGGAAGACAGUCCUUGCUCCAGAUGAAGAGGACUGAUGGAAGGGCAUCACAGCUGACAUGAUGUCAGAUGAGGAGGACGGCAGCGUUGACGGGGUGCGUGGAUGGAUAGUACAGCUUCCAUCCUUCCACAGCCAGGAGCUAGCCAACCUGUGUGCAGCCCUACAGGCUGGAGGCUGAUGUAAAGUACACAGCUCUACAUCACAGGCGUUUUCACAAUGGACAGCCGUCUGAUAGACAUAAGUAUGACACAGCAGCAGCAAAGAGACAUUUUAAGCCAGAGCUGAUGCCUGAGACCAGCUCAG